rnacentral:rRNA from 1 species
UACAGAGGGGGCAAGCGUUAUUCGGAAUUAUUGGGCGUAAAGGGCGCGUAGGCGGCGAUUCAAGUGACGGGUGAAAUCCCUCGGCUUAACCGAGGAACUGCCUGUCAGACUGGAUUGCUUGAGGCCGGGAGAGGUGAGUGGAAUUCCCAGUGUAGCGGUGAAAUGCGUAGAUAUUGGGAGGAACACCAGUGGCGAAGGCGGCUCACUGGACCGGUACUGACGCUGAGGCGCGAAAGCGUGGGGAGCAAACAGG